GGCGAGGUGGGCGGCCUUGAGCUGGUCGUAGCCCUUGGCCGCGGCGGCGUCCACCGCGCCGGUGACGGCGGCGUGCGGGUCCUCGCCCCGGUA
rnacentral:tRNA from 1 species